ensembl:lncRNA
GACUGCAUGGAUUCCUCAGGGACCACAUGGCUUCCUUUCCUUGUUUUUCAAAGAAUAUGGGAAUGAUGGGUCUGACAUCUAUUUCUGAUGAAAUUAGCAUUUGGCUAAUUGCUUCUCAGCAUCUCUGUUACACAUUUGCUAAUACUUCCUCUUUGCUCAGUUGCACAGGGAGCCUCACACGCCAUCUUCAUCAGAUGGGAUAUCAUACACCGUGACGUAAGCCCAGUGUCUCAGGAGACAUAACGCAAAUCAGCAAACGCUCUUGGAAGUAAAUAUAAACUGGAAGGGAAGGGACAUACAGGGGGGCUCCAGGCAGAAAAGGGGGCCCAUGUUUGGUUUAAAAUAUAAAUAUAAAGCUUGAAUGGGGGAGAAACCAAAAUGCUCCAUUUCCUUUCAUAUUAUCAUAAAUGUGGUUAAUGAUGCUCCCGAAAGUACUCAGAGGCUUGGCUGUCAGCAGAUGGUGCAGCUUCCCUUAUCAGUCCAACAGCAGGGCUAACAUGACCCUGUAGAAAUAUGUUUUUCUCCACUGCAUCUGUGUAAAUAAACACUGGCAGUUUCUAAUAUGGAGCUGCUUGCCCGUAAAGUGAUCUAAGUGUUGUAAACUUAAUUCACAAAUGAUGGCGCACCUCCAGUUGGACUUAAAACACCGAUUUGCUAAUUCCUCUGAUUUUCCCUUUUCUUCUUGCUCUUGACCCUGACAGAUUAUCACCCUGAAAGUGAGCAAAUAGUUCCAAGCCAGAGGGUCCCAUUUGUUUCUAGGACUCAACUUCUACUUCUUUGAAAGAGAAUGAUGGUUGUGAUCCCAAAUAGCUAGAGGCGAUUAUUAACAGGCUAUCCCCAUGGGGCUCAGAACUUGGAGAUCUGGAACAAGGAAGCGAAGGAUUUGACCCAUGUGGAGCUAGCAACAGGCCUGGGGGAUGCUAAAUAUUUGUGCAUGAUGUAAGAAAGCUUGAGCCUCGGCAUCGAUCUCUAGAUGAGAUGAUACAGCUGAGCGGUAAAGAGCUAAGAACCUGGAUCUGGGUUUGAAUUCUGCUCUGUCACGUAGUAGCCCCUUGCCCUUGAGUGAUUUACUCAAACUUUCAGGGUUUGUUUCACAGCUCACCUGGGAGGAUAAUAGUAGACUUAAAUAGAGUCAUUGUGAGAAUUAAAUGAAAUAAUUUAUGUAAAUAUUUAACACAGUCCUUGUGUGAACUAUUACAUUAAUAACAAGAAUAGUAGUCAUAGAUAUUCCAUUGGGGAAUGGUUACAUUCUUGCUGGUAGGAUACCCAGCCUGGGAUAAGACUUCAAGAACUAAGAAGGUAGUCCAGGACACACAAAUCUCUGGAGUCUUGGGGAGCAGGAAAUCCUACAGGAGAGGAAAGGGUCAGCCAGAUGGACAAGAAGCACCACCUUGCGAUGCGUUGGCAAUGGUGAGGCUCAGAUUUUCAUGGGUAAUGGAGCUGGCCAAGGAGAAGGUGGCUGGGAGAAGAGGUCCCUCCAUUGGAGCAGGAGAGAAUCAAGAAGGAGCAACUUUGCUGGAAGAGCCAGUUAGCUGCUACCACUGAGAAGGCAUUAGCUCUCAAAGUAGACUCCCGAGGAGUGGUCCCAGCAGCGGCUUCUGCCAGCAGAGGGCAAUGCCAAUGGACAGAAAGGGAGUUACUCUCUUCAAUAAAACUCUUCAAUAGCUUCCCAUGGCCGUAAGAGAAAAAUAAAACUCCUUUCCAUGGGCAACAGGGCUGUGCCUUCUGAACUCUCAUGCAUCAGUUCCCCCCAUGCUCCCUUUAAGCAUCUCCCUCCGGCCACAUUGGCUUCCUUUCAGUCCAUGAAACACCUCAAGCUGUUUCCAAGCUCACAGCCUUGGCAAUAUCAGUCUCCCUUGAUACUUGCCUAUCUCCUCUAUAUCCAGUUAACUCCCAUUACUCCACACAUUUCAGCUCCAGCAUCACUUCUUCAGAUAAGCAUUUCUACUCAUAACAAGCAUCCCCUCUGUUAUGGCCUCAUCUCUCAACUGUCCUGCCAGUCUAGGAGCUGCUGGCUUUCCACCGUGACUGGUCCUCAAAUGCUUCAAAUCUUUGUUAAUUUUCUUAACUUCCGUUAGUGCUUCCUCCUUUAAAGACUCUUCAAAGUCCAGGAUUGUGCUAGACUCUUGACUGAUAUCUUCUUCCCAAAUCAGGAAAAAACACUGUCAGAGACCCCAAGUUUACAGAACAUACUUGACCGUCUAAUCGUUCUACGAAGUUUACGCCUGCCUUUUCCACUACGGUAGCAUGGGCUUGUAAAUUAGAGGCAAUCAGCAUGUUUUAAGACAGCUGAGUGGAGACUUCGGCACAGCUGGUCAGGGAAAACAGGCUCAGAAACAUAGCCCAGGAUCCUUCAGCACACAGUGCUGCCCCGACUGUCCACACCUGGAUGGGGCUGUCAUCAGGC